rnacentral:rRNA from 1 species
GACGAACGCUGGCGGCGUGCUUAACACAUGCAAGUCGAGCGGAUAGGCCCUGCUUUUGUGGGGUGCUCGAGUGGCGAAAGGGUGAGUAAGACGUGAGUAACCUGCCCUUGACUUGGGGAUAACUUCAGGAAACUGGGGCUAAUACCGGAUAGGAGCUCGUGCUGCAUGGUGGGGGUUGGAAAGUGUCGGCGGUUGGGGAUGGACUCGCGGCUUAUCAGCUUGUUGGUGGAGUAGUGGCCUACCAAGUCUUUGACUGGUAGCCGGCCUGAGAGCGUGACCGGCCACAUUGGGACUGCGGGACGGCCCAGACUCCUACGGGCGGCAGUAGUCGGGAGUCUUGCGCAGUGGGCGGAAGUCUGAUGCAGCAACUCUGGGUUCGUAAUGCUCGCCUGUUGGUUGUAAACCACUGUCGUAUGAAAUGAAGCGUGAUUGACGGUAAUGGAUAAAGAAGCAACGGCUAACUACGUG